GACGAACGCUGGCGGCGUGCUUAACACAUGCAAGUCGAACGGAAAGGCCCUGCUUUUGUGGGGUGCUCGAGUGGCGAACGGGUGAGUAACACGUGAGUAACCUGCCCUUGACUUUGGGAUAACUUCAGGAAACUGGGGCUAAUACCGGAUAGGAGCUCCUGCUGCAUGGUGGGGGUUGGAAAGUUUCGGCGGUUGGGGAUGGACUCGCGGCUUAUCAGCUUGUUGGUGGGGUAGUGGCUUACCAAGGCCUUGACGGGUAGCCGGCCUGAGAGGGUGACCGGCCACAUUGGGACUGAGAUACGGCCCAGACUCCUACGGGAGGCAGCAGUGGCGAAUAUUGCACAAUGGGCGGAAGCCUGAUGCAGCAACGACGCGUGCGGGAUGACGGCCUUCGGGUUGUAAACCGCUUUCGCCUGUGACGAAGCGUGAGUGACGGUAAUGGGUAAAGAAGCACCGGCUAACUACGUG
rnacentral:rRNA from 1 species